GACGAACCGUGCGAACGUUGUUCGGAAUCACUGGGCUUAAAGGGUGCGUAGGCGGGCCUCCAAGUCCGGGGUGAAAGCCCCCGCUUAACGGGGGAAGUGCUCCGGGAUACUGGGGGCCUGGAGGGGGUGAGGGGCGGUGGCGGAACAGCCGGUGGAGCGGUGAAAUGCGUUGAUAUCGGCUGGAACUCCGGUGGCGAAAGCGGCACGC
rnacentral:rRNA from 1 species